AAGCUCGUAGUUGAAUUUCGGGGUUAGUAGGUUGGUCAUGCCUCUGGUAUGUACUGGUCUCACUGAUUCCUCCUUCCUGAUGAACCGUAAUGCCAUUAAUUUGGUGUUGCGGGGAGUUUGGACUGUUACUUUGAAAAAAUUAGAGUGUUUAAAGCAAGCUAACGCUUGAAUACAUUAGCAUGGAAUAAUGAAAUAGGACGUUCGAUCCUAUUUUGUUGGUUUCUAGGAUUGACGUAAUGAUUAAUAGGGAUAGUUGGGGGCAUUAGUAUUCAAUUGUCAGAGGUGAAAUUCUUGGAUUUAUUGAAGACUAACUACUGCGAAAGCAUUUGCCAAGGAUGUUUUCAUUAAUCAAGAACGAAAGUUAGGGGAUCGAAGACGAUCAGAUACCGUCGUAGUCUUAACCAUAAACUAUGCCGACUAGGGAUCGGAUGAUGUUAAUUUUUUAAUGACUCAUUCGGCGCCUUACGGGAAACCAAAGUGUUUGGGUUCCGGGGGGAGUAUGGUCGCAAGGCUGAAACUUAAAGGAAUUGACGGAAGGGCACCACCAGGGGUGGAGCCUGCGGCUUAAUUUGACUCAACACGGGGAAACUCACCAGGUCCAGACAUAGUAAGGAUUGACAGAUUGAGAGCUCUUUCUUGAUUCUAUGGGUG
rnacentral:rRNA from 1 species